AUUUGUCUAUCGAGUGUUGCUGAAACAAUUACUGCACAUGUUGUAAACAGUACUUGUUAUAAAAUAUAUAUUUUGCGCAUGCGUGCAGCCAUAUAGCUUCAAAUAUACAGCAUUAGCAUAAAUUCAGUAUUGAAAAAUGGCUUUCAAGCGUUCUUAUUGGCUCCCUCAGCAGUGACUCUGAGGAAAUAGUUACUGCUCAGACUGCUCUGAGCAGUAAUUAUUGCUUUCAAAACAAAAUGGUUGCCAAAAAUCCACUUGCAAACAAAUCAUCGAAGAAAAAGUUCGGAAGAAAUUAAAGCACAUAGCCUACUAUUCCUCUAAAAGCAAAAGAAGCGACAAUAUAUGGUGUUAACCUAUUUCCGAAAGACAAAAG
rnacentral:lncRNA from 1 species